GUCUACAGCCAUGCCACCCCGAUCCCGUCUGAUCUCAGAAGCUAAGCAGGGUCGGGCCUGGUUAGUACUUGGAUGGGAGAUCGCCUACAAAGACCAGGUGCUGUAGGCA
rnacentral:rRNA from 1 species